rnacentral:piRNA from 2 species
AAAAUUCACAUUUCAAAGGUGUGUGGUUU